CCUACAGUCAGCUGCACAGAAGGAAUGCCACACUUAACUCUGCCAACAGGAAAAUAAAGCCACCCUGGUCCUCCUGGCCUCCAUUAAGAUAGCAUAACAACACAAGAGCCAUGGGGAGCAGCCUCAGACCAGCUGCUAAUGCCUAAGUAUCUUCUCUCUGGUAACUGCCUACUGCUUUCUAUUUAACGUAAUUCAUCAGCCAGAUUAGAGUAGGUCAUUCUGCAGCAUAUGAAGAAAGCAAGGCUGAUAACAUAACCUGACACAUCAAAAAUAUUCUUCUGCGAACAGCCUGAAGAGCUGUUGUUUACAAAAAGCUGUGAGCAAGCAAAAUAACCAUAUAGUUUGCCUACAGGUCAGUGGGCAGUCAGUCUGUUUAUUGCUACUCAUUUCAUUUUUGAGUAGCUCAGCACAACUGUAAUUGCUAGUUAACAGAUAGACUGGGUCCUAACUAUCAAAAAAAAAAAAAAUUCUCAAAAUGACUCUGCCAGGAGGCAGAAUAAAUAAAUUUGAAAAAGGGCGGUGGUGGGGGGUGGGGAGACACCCAGCCAGUCACUGGUCAACAAACACUGGCUGUGAAAAUCCCGGGACUCCAAGACAGGAAGCCAGCCUAGCAGCUGAGCGAUUUCUGAUCUCCGAACCAGCUGCCUUUGAUGUGAAGUUCUCCGUGUGCCUCCAAUAUGAAGACAUUAUAACUGGGCAGUGCUGGGAACUUUCUCAUCGCGGUUCACUGUGUUCAGAAACUGGCCCCAGCACCAUUCACUGUCCGAAUUCCAAAAAGGCAACAGGGAUCCAUGAUUGAAGACCAGCAUCCCCUAAUUCUGAGAGGCAACUUUUCUCCUGAUUCAAAUCUCCACGUCACAAACCAGAACGCCAUUCAAGCCUUCCAUAAACGUUAAGAGAAGUUCCGCGCCUGCCAGGGGAAGCGAAAUCCGGGCUGACUUUGAUCGACACCGAGAAGGGGGUACCUCAGUCCUGCGUUCCUAGAUGGCGGGUUUGCUCGGUGCACCACCUAGCCCUGCCGUCCGGAUCCGGGGCAAAGUCGUCCGCAGUCUUUCAGGCCGGUUCUCAGCCUCUGCCUGUAUUGUAACUCAGCCCGGGCGCAGUCAGAGAAUCGAAUCCCAGCAACAAAGCCGGGGGCGCAAACCCGCCGUGAUGAACCGGUCGGCCUGCCCCCCAACCCCUGCCUCCUCCCUUCCCGACUUGCCUUUGAAAAGACAGGCGUUGGGGCCAGAAAACGAAUACGUCCGAGGCGAGGAGGACGGAAGCAGCGGGACACAAGUGGCCUGAGUGGUCUGGGGGUCGUGGUUUGUUUACGUGUCUCUUAAACACCCAGGACCCACGGAGGUGAGCCCGGCGAGUCGGGCGCCCCACGGGAGCCUCACCGCCCCGGGCGCUGCGCAGACCGCUCGCCCCUCGCCCACCGCCCGUCUGGCGGGCCGGGGUGAACGAGGAGGCUCGCGCGGGUUUGUCUGACACUUGUAAAUGGAAGUGGGAUCCAACUUGGGAAACAAACGCGCCGGGGUCUUGGGACGGGGAGGGGCGGGAGACCGGGGAGAGGAGAAGAAAAGCCUCUUCAUCCGGCGGCGCGCUCCGAGCUCCCCGCCGGCCUCCCGCCGCAGCGGCUGCAGGUUACCCGGCCCCAAGGCCGAGCCGGGACCGGCGCGCGGGGAGCGGGGCGCGGGGCCGGGGCGGGCUGGGCCGGCAGAGGGGGCGAGCCGAGGCUACCGAGCGCCCGCUCUCCAGGCCGCCGGCACCUCUAGCUCCCGGGAGCCUCCCCGAGCCCCACGCCACGUCCCUGCAGGCUCGCCCCCUCCGUCCUCAGCCUUCCAGGGAUCCCCUUCCACUGCCAGCUCUGCCCCUAUUAUUACGUGGAGCUACAGCCGCAGGAUGCCGCCAGCACAUACACACACACCGGGGGCGGGGGGGUGGGGGGCUCCUCUCCUCUCGUUGAAAGCUACCCCGAGGCUCGCUGAGCCCGCAGCCACACUCCCGCCACCCCCGCGUCCUUGCCCCCAGCGAUCCCCAGCCCACGAAAGCGGGGCUAGGAAAAGCGAACAAUGAAAGUUGCUUUCCGCGAAGCCUCAUCGCCGUCUCUGUUUAACUGUCUCGGAAAGCACGGGCGACGCGAGUAGGCGAGAGAGGCGUGCAGACCACAGCGAGGCUAAAAACACCCGGGCUCUGCGCCCUGCGCCGGCCUGGGAGCCCGAUGCACUUUAGCUCAGCGACCCCCACUGGCGGCGCACGAGCGCGCCGGGCGAACACGCUCCCGGCCACCUCCGCCGCCGCGCCCGCGCUCCGCAGACCCCCGCCGGGACCCCGCACCCACACUGGUCCCGGCGCAGGGGUCCACCCGGCACCGCCCGGGAAGGGGCCUUGAGAGUGGAGCUGGCGCACGCUUGCAUUCGAUCCCACUCGGCAAUCCAGGGCGGACCGCAGCGCACCCGCUAGGACGCCCAAACCCGCGCGGCUUUCUUUUCAAAGACAAGCCACCUUCACGCACGCCCGCCAAAACCCGUGCUCUCCCAAGGCACUCCGUUUGCCUGUCCCCAGGAGAGCAAGGAAAGUCCCACCUCCCCGCCACUCCACAAAAAAAUCUGUCGCCCCAGUCCCAGAGUCUCUGCCGCUCGGUACACCUCACCCCGCCCGUGACCCCCGCACACCAGAGUCACACGCGGAGCGGACCCGCAGAUCGUCUCGUAACCCUUUCCCCUCCCUGCUCAGAGUGGAGUCUGGGCUCUACUACAGCCGGCGCCUCGCCAGGCGACGACCCAACUUGAGCCUCGGGUCCCGAAGUGCAUCCUUUGGCUUCUGAAUGUCCCUACAGCGCCCCACCGGCAGCGGCCACCGAGCAGGCUCGCCGCCUGGCCCCUCCGAUCCACCUGCAGUGGGCGGGCGGCCGGGAGUCGGGGGCCGGGUGCAUCGUUCUGAAAGCCGCCCCCCGCCCCCUUUUCCAAAUCCUGAGCCCCAAACUUGGCCAACUCUCCAUGCCAACCUCCCGGCUACCGCCGCCAGACCGAGCCUCCUUCCCCUCCUCCUCGCGGCGGCAGCCAAGGCUGCUCCGAGCCUUGCCGAGGCAGGAACUUUACCAGCCGCUCCCUGGGGCUCCAGGACACCGCGAACGUGUCUUCCUGGCGCGGGUGGUGCUGGUGAUGCUGGCUCCAGGAAGCUCACCCUCAUCGCUAUCUCAGCCCCGCCACAGCCCUGCGCCGAGGUCUCACACGUGCUGCUCUCACGAGACCGGGGAGGAAACUGAGCUCUCGGCCUGUGACCUCUGCUUUGUCGCAGCUGCACAGUGGCCCCACCGCCCUCCGCAGGUGGAGGACUUCCCGCGAAGGCCUGCAGCAGCCUCGCCGCCUUGACUGUCCCAUAAAGUACCAGCACGCUCUGGUCAUCGCCUGGAGAGUUUAAUGUGAAUACUGAAGAACAGGGAGGGCUCUCCUUACAUCAGCUAACUCUGAGGCCAUCAGCAUGAUGUUACCUAGGGCUUCCUUGUCUCGGAAGGCUGGAAGAUGGGUCUGGAGGGAGGGAAAACCACCAACGUGGCUAGGAAAACGUUCCAGUCCUCCAAAAUAUUAUCAAU
ensembl:lncRNA